GUGAAGAUUAGAGGACACACAGAGAGAGAUUAAUUGAUCACUAUUGGCAUUAUUUGAAUCCUAGAUCAAGGGACAUAUUCGUGUUUGCAGUGCUUUAAAGCUUGACGCGAAUGUAGCCACUAACAAAGCAUAUCUCCCUCUCAAGCUCUCAUGGACUCUCUUCUAAUUGCCCAGUGAAAGAGCAGCAUCAAGAUGCUUGGGCAACAGCUAAUCGUUUAAAUCCAAAAACGAAGGAAAGGGAAAGAAUGCUCUUUGAAGACUCAGGAUAGGAGAAUUACCAAUGCAACGAAUAGAGCUUGUCUGAAAAUGAUGUUUGUCUCUAUCUUUUGCAAUAAGACCAAUAUUUAUUAAAGUAUGUUUGUGG
rnacentral:lncRNA from 1 species